GGGGUUGUAGCUCAGUGGCAGAGCGCUUGUCUUGCACAUAUGAGAUACUGGGUUUGAUCCUCAGCACCA
rfam:Ictidomys tridecemlineatus contig104595, whole genome shotgun sequence.